CUGGGCCGCUGAGGACGCCGCCUGGGGCGCAGCCGGAGGAGCUCCUGGUCCACUAGGAGGGCGCUGCUCCCACCCCGCAGAAAUGGAAAAGAGAAAAGUUACUGUAAAACUCCAUGUGAUCAUCUAGAACACAGUGUGAAAAGGCCAUUAAAAUGCUGGAAAGAAUUGGUUAAUCUCCAUAAAGAAGUACAGCAUUUCCAUCAUGCCAACCACUAAGUAGAUGGUAGGGUUUCUAGCCAUUGGAAAAUUCUUCU